GACGAACGCUGGCGGCGUGCCUAAUACAUGCAAGUCGAGCGAACGGGCCCGAUGCUUGCUUCGCUGAUUUUAGCGGCGGACGGGUGAGUAACACGUGGAUAACCUGCCUAUCAGACUGGGAUAACUUCGGGAAACGGGAGCUAAUACCGGAUAGUAUUUUGAACCGCAUGGUUCAAAGGGGAAAGACGGCCCUGCUUUCACUUAUAGAUGGAUCCGCGCUGCAUUAGCUAGUUGGUAAGGUAACGGCUUACCAAGGCAAGGAUGCAUAGCCGACCUGAGAGGGUGAUCGGCCACAUUGGAACUGAGACACGGUCCAGACUCCUACGGGAGGCAGCAGUAGGGAAUCUUCCGCAAUGGGCGAAAGUCUGACGGAGCAACGCCGCGUGAGUGAUGAAGGUCUUCGGAUCGUAAAACUCUGUUAUUAGGGAAGAACAUGUGCGUAAGUAACUGUGCACACCUUGACGGUACCUAAUCAGAAAGCCACGGCUAACUACGUG
rnacentral:rRNA from 1 species